UCCUGGAUGGCUCAGUGGCCAAGAGCCUGUCUGCCAAUGCAGGAGACACGGGUUCAAUCCCUGGUCCGGGAA
rnacentral:tRNA from 1 species